AGAGUUUGAUCAUGGCUCAGGACGAACGCUGGCGGCGUGCUUAACACAUGCAAGUCGAACGGUGAAGCUCCAGCUUGCUGGAGUGGAUCAGUGGCGAACGGGUGAGUAACACGUGAGAACCUGCCCCAAACUCUGGAAUAAGCGCUGGAAACGGCGUCUAAUACUGGAUACGAGACCAACCUGCAUGGGUAUGGUUUGGAAAGUUUUUCGGUUUGGGAUGGGCUCGCGGCCUAUCAGCUUGUUGGUGAGGUAAUGGCUCACCAAGGCGACGACGGGUAGCCGGCCUGAGAGGGCGACCGGCCACACUGGGACUGAGACACGGCCCAGACUCCUACGGGAGGCAGCAGUGGGGAAUAUUGCACAAUGGGCGAAAGCCUGAUGCAGCGACGCCGCGUGAGGGAUGACGGCCUUCGGGUUGUAAACCUCUUUCAGCAGGGAAGAAGCGAAAGUGACGGUACCUGCAGAAGAAGCACCGGCUAACUACGUGCCAGCAGCCGCGGUAAUACGUAGGGUGCGAGCGUUGUCCGGAAUUAUUGGGCGUAAAGAGCUUGUAGGCGGUUUGUCGCGUCUGCUGUGAAAAUCCGGGGCUCAACCCCGGACUUGCAGUGGGUACGGGCAGACUAGAGUGUGGUAGGGGAGACUGGAAUUCCUGGUGUAGCGGUGAAAUGCGCAGAUAUCAGGAGGAACACCGAUGGCGAAGGCAGGUCUCUGGGCCACUACUGACGCUGAGAAGCGAAAGCAUGGGGAGCGAACAGGAUUAGAUACCCUGGUAGUCCAUGCCGUAAACGUUGGGAACUAGGUGUGGGUCUCAUUCCACGAGAUCCGUGCCGCAGCUAACGCAUUAAGUUCCCCGCCUGGUGAGUACGGCCGCAAGGCUAAAACUCAAAUGAAUUGACGG
rnacentral:rRNA from 1 species